GCCAGGUAUGGUGGUGCAUGCCUAUAAUCCCAGCCACUUGGGGAGCUGAGUUGGGAGAAUCGCUUGAGCCCAGGAGUUCGAGUCUGCAGUGAGCAAUGAUCAUGCCACCGCACUCAAGCCUGGGCAACAGAGUGAGAUCCUAUCUCAA
rnacentral:SRP_RNA from 2 species